CACUCUAAGCGGUGGAUCACUUGGCUCAUGGGUCGAUGAAGAACGCAGCAAACUGUGCGUCAUCGUGUGAACUGCAGGACACAUGAACAUCGACAUUUUGAACGCAUAUCGCAGUCCAUGCUGUAAAGUACACUAAUUUUAAUUAUUGUGCUGCUUGGACUACAUAUGGUUGAGGGUUGUAAGACUAUGCUAAAUGAGUUGCUUUUUUAAAUUAAAAUCAAAGCACAUGUUGUAUUACUGGAUGUAAAAGCAUUCAUAAUACUAAUAACCAAGAUACCAAAUGUACCUCAAAUUGAAUAUAAUCAAAAGAAUAUUCUUUUUUAUAGAGGAAGGUCUAGUAUAAAAAAAAUUUUUUUUAAUCUAGAAUUGCUUCUUAAAGAAAAAUUGAAUAACCGUAUGUUCCAUACUAUAUAUAUAUAUAUAUAUAUAUAUAGAUGAAGAACAACAAAAAGUCGUAACAAAGUCAGUCAGCCGUAGAAAGAAAAAACAGAUUUUUAUUCAAGAAAAAGAAGUACAUAUAUCUUAAUUAAUUUUAAAUAUAUAUUUAUACAACCUCAACUCAUAUGGGAUUACCCCCUGAAUUUAAGCAUAUUAAUGAGGGGAGGAAAAGAAACUAACAAGGAUUUUCUUAGUAGCGGCGAGCGAAAAGAAAAUAGUUCAGCACUAAGUCACUUUGUCUUUAUGGCAAAUGUGAGAUGCAGUGUAUGGAAUGUCAAAUUUCUAGUAUGAGAAAUUAGUGAUUUAAGUCCUUCUUAAAUGAGGCCAUUUACCCAUAGAGGGUGCCAGGCCCGUAUAACAUUAAUGAUUAUUAGAUGGCAUUUCCAAAGAGUCGUGUUGCUUGAUAGUGCAGCACUAAGUGGGUGGUAAACUCCAUCUAAAACUAAAUAUAACCAUGAGACCGAUAGUAAACAAGUACCGUGAGGGAAAGUUGAAAAGAACUCUGAAUAGAGAGUUAAAUAGUACGUGAAACUGCUUAGAGGUUAAGCCCGAUGAACCUGAAUAUCCGUUAUAGAAAAUUCAUCAUUAUGACUUUAAUAUUUAAAAAUAUUAUAAUAAUAGUGUGCAUUUUUUCUAUAAAGGACAUUGUAAUCUAUUGACAUUAAUAAAAUCUAUCAAAAGAUCAAUUGCGAAGGUUUAUUCGAUUUAUUUUGCUUGCAAUUUAACAUAGGGUAAACGCUUUUGAUUUGAUAGAGUGUCGAUAGAUUUAUUAUAUAUGGUGCUUGAAUAUUUAAUAUUCUAUAAUAGCAUAUUAAUUAUUAAUUUUUAUGUUUAUUAUAUGCACUUGUAUGAUUAACAAUGCGAAAGAUUCAGGAUACCUUCGGGACCCGUCUUGAAACACGGACCAAGGAGUCUAACAUAUUUGCAAGUUAUUGGGAAUAAAAACCUAAUAGCGAAAUUAACAUAACUUUAUUUGGGAUUAGUUUUUAGCCUAUUUAUAGUCUAUUAAUUCAAUCCCGGGGCGUUCUAUCGUUAUGUAUAAUAAUAUUUAUAUUAUUUAUACCUCUAACUAGAGCGUACCUUGAGCAUAUAUGCUGUGACCCGAAAGAUGGUGAACUAUACUUGAUCAGGUUGAAGUCAGGGGAAACCCUGAUGGAAGACCGAAACAGUUCUGACGUGCAAAUCGAUUGUCAGAAUUGAGUAUAGGGCGAAGACCAAUCGAACCAUCUAGUAGCUGGUUCCCUCCGAAGUUUCCCUCAGGAUAGCUGGUGCAUUUAAAAUUUAUGUAAAAUAAUCUUAUCUGGUAAAGCGAAUGAUUAGAGGCCUUAGGGUCGAAACGAUCUUAACCUAUUCUCAAACUUUAAAUGGGUAAGAACCUCACCUUUCUUGGUAUGAAGGUAGUGGUUGUGAUAUAAUGUGCCCAGUGGGCCACUUUUGGUAAGCAGAACUGGCGCUGUGGGAUGAACCAAACGUAAUGUUACGGUGCCCAAAUUAACAACUCAUGCAGAUACCAUGAAAGGCGUUGGUUGCUUAAAACAGCAGGACGGUGGACAUGGAAGUCGUAAUCCGCUAAGGAGUGUGUAACAACUCACCUGCCGAAGCAACUAGCCCUUAAAAUGGAUGGCGCUUAAGUUGUAUACCUAUACAUUACCGCUAAAGUAGAUGAUUUAUGUUCAAUUUCGGUUGGAUUAUAAAUUUUGAAACUUUAGUGAGUAGGAGGGUACAGUGGUAAGCAUAGAAGUGUUUGGCGUAAGCCUGCAUGGAGCUGCCAUUGGUACAGAUCUUGGUGGUAGUAGCAAAUAAUCGAAUGAGACCUUGGAGGACUGAAGUGGAGAAGGGUUUCGUGUGAACAGUGGUUGAUCACGAGUUAGUCGGUCCUAAGUUUAAGGCGAAAGCCGAAAAUUUUCAAGUUAUAAUAGAAAUGAAAAUGAAAUAUACAUAUUGUAAUAAAACACUUGAAUAAUUUUGAACGAAAGGGAAUACGGUUCCAAUUCCGUAACCUGUUGAGUAUCCGUUUGUUAUUAAAUAUGGGCCUUGUGCUCAUCCUGGCAACAGGAACGAC
rnacentral:rRNA from 1 species